CUCCUACGGGAGGCAGCAGUAGGGAAUCUUCGGCAAUGGACGAAAGUCUGACCGAGCAACGCCGCGUGAGUGAAGAAGGUUUUCGGAUCGUAAAACUCUGUUGUUAGAGAAGAACAAGGGUGAGAGUAACUGUUCACCCCUUGACGGUAUCUAACCAGAAAGCCACGGCUAACUACGUGCCAGCAGCCGCGGUAAUACGUAGGUGGCAAGCGUUGUCCGGAUUUAUUGGGCGUAAAGCGAGCGCAGGCGGUUUCUUAAGUCUGAUGUGAAAGCCCCCGGCUCAACCGGGGAGGGUCAUUGGAAACUGGGAGACUUGAGUGCAGAAGAGGAGAGUGGAAUUCCAUGUGUAGCGGUGAAAUGCGUAGAUAUAUGGAGGAACACCAGUGGCGAAGGCGGCUCUCUGGUCUGUAACUGACGCUGAGGCUCAAAAGCGUGGGGAGCAAACAGGAUUAGAUACCCUGGUAGUCCACGCUGUAAACGAUGAGUGCUAGGUGUAGGUGGGCUCAUACCCAUCUGUGCCGAAGCUAACGCAUUAAGCACUCCGCCUGGGGAGUACGGUCGCAAGACUGAAACUCAAAGGAAUUGACGGGGGCCCGCACAAGCAGUGGAGCAUGUGGUUUAAUUCGAAGCAACGCGAAGAACCUUACCAGGACUUGACAUCCCAUAGACCAGUCUAGAGAUAGACUUUCCCUUCGGGGCUGUGGUGACAGGUGGUGCAUGGUUGUCGUCAGCUCGUGUCGUGAGAUGUUGGGUUAAGUCCCGCAACGAGCGCAACCCUUACUUUGUGUUGCCAGCAUUCAGUUGGGCACUCACAAGGGACUGCCGCCGAUAAGGCGGAGGAAGGUGGGGAUGACGUCAAAUCAUCAUGCCCCUUAUGUCCUGGGCUACACACGUGCUACAAUGGGCGGUACAACGGGAUGCGAAGCCGCGAGGUGGAGCCAAACCCUGAAAACCGUUCGUAGUUCGGAUUGUAGGCUGCAACUCGCCUACAUGAAGCCGGAAUUGCUAGUAAUCGCGGAUCAGCAUGCCGCGGUGAAUCCGUUCCCGGGCCUUGUACACACCGCCCGU
rnacentral:rRNA from 1 species